rnacentral:siRNA from 1 species
AGGAGACAUUUUGGAGUAAAACCU